rnacentral:rRNA from 1 species
UAUUGGGCGUAAAGCGAGCGCAGGCGGUUUUUUAAGUCUGAUGUGAAAGCCUUCGGCUCAACCGAAGAAGUGCAUCGGAAACUGGGAAACUUGAGUGCAGAAGAGGACAGUGGAACUCCAUGUGUAGCGGUGAAAUGCGUAGAUAUAUGGAAGAACACCAGUGGCGAAGGCGGCUGUCUGGUCUGUAACUGACGCUGAGGCUCGAAAGUAUGGGUAGCAAACAGGAUUAGAUACCCUGGUAGUCCAUACCGUAAACGAUGAAUGCUAAGUGUUGGAGGGUUUCCGCCCUUCAGUGCUGCAGCUAACGCAUUAAGCAUUCCGCCUGGGGAGUACGGCCGCAAGGCUGAAACUCAAAGGAAUUGACGGGGGCCCGCACAAGCGGUGGAGCAUGUGGUUUAAUUCGAAGCUACGCGAAGAACCUUACCAGGUCUUGACAUACUAUGCAAAUCUAAGAGAUUAGACGUUCCCUUCGGGGACAUGGAUACAGGUGGUGCAUGGUUGUCGUCAGCUCGUGUCGUGAGAUGUUGGGUUAAGUCCCGCAACGAGCGCAACCCUUAUUAUCAGUUGCCAGCAUUAAGUUGGGCACUCUGGUGAGACUGCCGGUGACAAACCGGAGGAAGGUGGGGAUGACGUCAAAUCAUCAUGCCCCUUAUGACCUGGGCUACACACGUGCUACAAUGGAUGGUACAACGAGUUGCGAACUCGCGAGAGUAAGCUAAUCUCUUAAAGCCAUUCUCAGUUCGGAUUGUAGGCUGCAACUCGCCUACAUGAAGUCGGAAUCGCUAGUAAUCGCGGAUCAGCAUGCCGCGGUGAAUACGUUCCCGGGCCUUGUACACACCGCCCGUCACACCAUGAGAGUUUGUAACACCUCUAACAG